GACGAACGCUGGCGGCGUGCUUAACACAUGCAAGUCGAGCGGUAAGGCCCUUUCGGGGGUACACGAGCGGCGAACGGGUGAGUAACACGUGGGUGACUUGCCCUCAGCUCUGGGAUAAGCCCGGGAAACUGGGUCUAAUACCGGAUAUGACCCCAUGACGCACGUUGUGGGGUGGAAAGCCUUGUGCGGCUGAGGAUGGGCCCGCGGCCUAUCAGCUUGUUGGUGGGGUGAUGGCCUACCAAGGCGACGACGGGUAGCCGGCCUGAGAGGGCGACCGGCCACACUGGGACUGAGAUACGGCCCAGACUCCUACGGGAGGCAGCAGUGGGGAAUCUUGCGCAAUGGGCGAAAGCCUGACGCAGCGACGCCGCGUGAGGGAUGACGGCCUCGGUCGUAACUACCU
rnacentral:rRNA from 1 species